rnacentral:rRNA from 1 species
UACGUAGGGUGCAAGCGUUAUCCGGAAUUAUUGGGCGUAAAGAGCUCGUAGGCGGUUUGUCGCGUCUGCUGUGAAAACUGGAGGCUCAACCUCCAGCCUGCAGUGGGUACGGGCAAACUAGAGUGCGGUAGGGGAGAUCGGAAUUCCUGGUGUAGCGGUGAAAUGCGCAGAUAUCAGGAGGAACACCGGUGGCGAAGGCGGGUCUCUGGGCCGAUACUGACGCUGAGGAGCGAAAGCGUGGGGAGCAAACAGG